GGUGUAACGAAAAGCUAGAAUGCAAAAAUAUCAACUUUGAUAAUUUUAAUCAAAAUUGUCCAAGUUGGACACGAUUGCGUAAAAUCGAUUUCUUGAACCACCCUGAUAUCUGCAUAUCAGUGCGUCAGUGUUAAUUGAAACUUUUGAUCAAUGUUUUACUAGCGACAUUGACUUAAUCCUCCUCAAAGCCCCCCAAUUGAUUAUUUCACUUAAAAACAAAGAUAUCGAUACAGCAAAUGUUAUCUAAAGCGCCUUUUCUAGAUAGUUCGCAAAAUAUUUCUUCGUUUAACAAACCGUCUGCUGAUCCACUUGAAAUCAUUCGAAUAAUUAUAGUCAAAGAGAAAGGACGCAAUUCGUAAAAAAAUGAGUAGAUUUUAUAAUUUAACUUUGUUCGUAAUCUUGACCGCGACGGUCAUCAUCGGUUCAACUACAGCGUACUAUUGCGAUGGACUGAUUGGAGGAAUGCUCAUCAAAUGGCAUGAGCCUGAGGUCUGCGAACGAUUCUACGCCUGUCAGCACGGUACGGACCAUGAAUGGUUCUGUCCGCCAGGUGAAUUUUUCAGUCAAAGGAACCAACAAUGUGAGAGUACGUGCAAUCCAGUGGAUCAAAACCAAUGGUGUGCAGGACUUCCUGAUGGAAUAUUCAUCCGUGUUCCUCCGAAUGAACCAUUCGAUUGCAACAAGUACUAUACCUGUGUAGGAGG